rnacentral:rRNA from 1 species
CGCGUAGGCGGCCUUCUAAGUCAGACGUGAAAUCCCUCGGCUCAACCGGGGAACUGCGUCUGAGACUGGAAGGCUUGAAUCCGGGAGAGGGAUGUGGAAUUCCAGGUGUAGCGGUGAAAUGCGUAGAUAUCUGGAGGAACACCGGUGGCGAAGGCGGCAUCCUGGACCGGUAUUGACGCUGAGGCGCGAAAGCCAGGGGAGCAAACG